rnacentral:rRNA from 1 species
AAGCUGAGUCUUAUCAGUCUGAGUAGGUCUGAUUUUAUCUAUUAGAAGCUAAACAGGUUUGAGCCUGGCUAGUACUUGGAUGGAAGAUCACUGGAGAAUACUCUCAGGGCUUGUUGCUUC